AUACGUAGGGAGCGAGCGUUGUCCGGAAUUACUGGGUGUAAAGGGAGCGUAGGCGGGAGUGCAAGUCAGAUGUGAAAUACAUGGGCUCAACCCAUGGGCUGCAUUUGAAACAGCAUUUCUUGAGUGAAGUAGAGGUAAGCGGAAUUCCUGGUGUAGCGGUGAAAUGCGUAGAUAUCAGGAGGAACACCGGUGGCGAAGGCGGCUUACUGGGCUUUUACUGACGCUGAGGCUCGAAAGCGUGGGGAGCAAACAGGAUUAGAUACCCUGGUAGUCCACGCUGUAAACGAUGAUUACUAGGUGUGGGGGGACUGACCCCUUCCGUGCCGCAGUUAACACAAUAAGUAAUCCACCUGGGGAGUACGGCCGCAAGGUUGAAACUCAAAUGAAUUGACGGGG
rnacentral:rRNA from 1 species